UGGCUCAGAACGAACGCUGGCGGCAGGCCUAACACAUGCAAGUCGAACGCUCCGCAAGGGGAGUGGCGCACGGGUGAGUAACACGUGGGAACCUACCUUCUGGUACGGAACAACCAAGGGAAACUUUGGCUAAUACCGUAUACGACCUCCGGGUGAAAGAUUUAUCGCCGGAAGAGGGGCCCGCGUCCGAUUAGGUAGUUGGUGGGGUAACGGCCUACCAAGCCGACGAUCGGUAGCUGGUCUGAGAGGAUGACCAGCCACACUGGGACUGAGACACGGCCCAGACUCCUACGGGAGGCAGCAGUGGGGAAUAUUGGACAAUGGGCGCAAGCCUGAUCCAGCCAUGCCGCGUGAGUGAUGAAGGCCUUCGGGUUGUAAAGCUCUUUCACCCACGACGAUGAUGACGGUAGUGGGAGAAGAAGCCCCG
rnacentral:rRNA from 1 species